rnacentral:lncRNA from 1 species
CUGUUUAGCUUAUUGAUUGGUUUGGCAGGAAAAGCAGCCUUGUCAUCAGUGACCAAGGUCGAACUAAACAAAAAGGGACAGGAGGGGAGGAACAAGCAGACGGGAGGAGAAAGAAAAAGUUGAACGUACAAGCUCAGUGAGGCAAGAAUGGAAUAUCUGAGGGCUAGAACUUUGCUUAAAGAGAUAGUCAUGGUUCAUCUGACCACAAAGCCUGUCAUAGUCAUGGAAGCAAAAGCAUGAAAAACCUAUGAGUGUGUGAGAUCCUAAAAACGUAUUUCACUCAUCCUUCCAAGGCUCUGUGUCAUCCUGGCAUGCCAGACUGUAAACUGUUUGCUUCGGAAAGAAAAGAAAAGCUAAGCUUCUAUACUGUCACCUGCAACAGUUGCCAAAGGUAGAAAAAGUUGCCCUGCAACUCUCAAAAUAUCCCAACCACGAUGGGAUCGCAGGAAAACAAUCCAUUCAACGAUGUGACAUAGCAUGGCCGUUUCAGAAGUUAGCAACAGUCUCUCUUUCAUGUCAAUUUGGCAAAAGACCACCUAGUAUGUGCACCAAUUAGCUGCCAGCAAGGCAACAGAAUACUC